GAGUAUCAAUUGGAGGGCAAGUCUGGUGCCAGCAGCCGCGGUAAUUCCAGCUCCAAUAGCGUAUAUUAAAAUUGUUGCAGUUAAAAAGCUCGUAGUUGAAUUUCUGCUGCAUUGCUUUUGCUCCUUUACGAGUCUUUGCAUUGUGGCUUAUUUCGGACUUUGUUUUACAAUGUCCGGAUGUUUACUUUGAGAAAAUUAGAGUGCUCAAAGCAGGCUUUCGCCUUGAAUAGUUUAGCAUGGAAUAAUAAAGUAGGACUUUGGUUCUAUUUUGUUGGUUUUAGGUACCAAAGUAAUGGUUAAUAGGAACAGUUGGGGGCAUUCGUAUUUAACUGUCAGAGGUGAAAUUCUUAGAUUUGUUAAAGACGAACUACUGCGAAAGCAUUUGCCAAGGAUGUUUUCAUUAAUCAAGAACGAAAGUUAGGGGAUCGAAGACGAUCAGAUACCGUCGUAGUCCUAACCAUAAACAAA
rnacentral:rRNA from 1 species